rnacentral:rRNA from 1 species
AUGUGUGAGAAGGAAGUGGGUAAUAACCGUCCUGAUCACUACAUGUGGGAUUUUACAGACUGCAUCAACGACUGUGGGCUACAAGAAGUGAUGGUGAUAGGAGAUACUUUCACAUGGAGUCGUGGACUGAUCAGAGAGCAACUAGACAGGGCUCUAUGUAAUGAGAUGUGGGCAGAAAAUUUUCCUUUUGUAGGACUGGUACAUGAACACCAUACCCACUCUGACCAUAGGCCUACUGUGCUCGAUACAGAGUAUUUCAAACCGAUGUUAAUGCAACGGCAGCAGAACCGGAAACGUAUGUUCGAAGCCCGAUGGUUGGAAGAAGGGACAGUGAACGAGAUUGUAAAGACAGCGAGGGAGCGAGCUAAGUUAGCUGGGCUAGGCCCUUCCCUUGCGGGUCGGACCAAGGCAGUGUUGAAGGACUUGCAUAUGUGGGAUCGUGAGACCCUAAAGAGUCCUAAGAAGAGAAUAAAUAAAUUAAAGAAAGAGCUAGAGAAAUUAAGAAGGAGUCCGAACACUGCUGAAAACAGACAGAUAAUGAAAGAUACCCAAGUCCUGAUUGAAAACCUACUGGAUCAAGAAGAGUUGGUUUGGCUCCAACGUGGUAGAGCAAAUUGGCUGCUGCAUGGUGACCGAAAUACAACAUUCUUCCAUAGAGCUGCUACGGCUCGCAAGAAGAGGAAUUGCAUUAAGAGGCUGCUGGAUGACACUGUAGUAUGGAAGGAAAAAGAGGAGGACAUUAAUCGAAUUAUAUCAUAA